rnacentral:rRNA from 1 species
AGUUUUUCUGCCCAUUGAAUUUAAAAGGCUGCAGUAUAUUGACUGUACAAAGGUAGCAAAAUCAAUAGUUUUUUAAUUGAAAACUUGAAUGAAAGAAUGAAUAAAAUAUAAACUGUCUUAAAGUUUGAAUUUAAAUUAAAAGUUAAAAUGCUUUUGUUUAUUUAUUAGACGAUAAGACCCUAAGAAUUUGAAAUAAUUUAUUAUUUUAAUAUUAAAAUUUAGUGAUAAAUUUUUUAUUGGGAGGGUAAUUAAAUUAAACUUUAAUUUAUUGAAACAUAGAUGAAUGAAUAUAAAGAUAAUUUUUAUAAUUAAAAGAAUUAAUUACCUUAGGGAUAACAGCGUAAUAAUUUUGGAGAGUUCAUAUUAAUAAAAUUGUUUGCGACCUCGAUGUUGAAUUAAAAUAAAAAUUAAGUGAAGAAGCUUAAAAUUUUAGUCUGUUCGACUAUUAAAAUUUUAC